CUACGGGCGGCAGCAGUCGAGAAUCUUUCGCAAUGGGCGAAAGCCUGACGAAGCGACGCCGUGUGAACGAAGAAGGCCUUAGGGUUGUAAAGUUCUUUCGCCUAAGAACAAGGGAUACAUACUAAUAUUAUGUAAACUUGAGGGUACUAGGUAAAGAAGCACCGGCUAACCCCGUGCCAGCAGCUGCGGUAAUACGGAGGGUGCAAGCAUUAAUCGGAAUUACUGGGCGUAAAGGGCGCGUAGGCGGAACUGCAAGUCAUGAGUGAAAUUCCAAGGCUUAACCUUGGAGCUGCUUGUGGAACUGCAAUUCUAGUGGCAAGAUGGGGAAAAUGGAAUUCCCCGUGUAGCGGUGAAAUGCGUAGAUAUGGGGAGGAACAUCGGUGGCGAAAGCGAUUUUCUAAUCUUCGCCAGACGCUGAAGCGCGAAAGCGAGGGGAGCAAACAGGAUUAGAUACCCGGGUAGUC
rnacentral:rRNA from 1 species